rnacentral:rRNA from 1 species
UGCGGAAGGAUCAUUACCGAGCGAGAAUUCUCUGAAUUCAACCUCCCACCCGUGUUUAUUGUACCUUGUUGCUUCGGCGGGCCCGCCUCACGGCCGCCGGGGGGCAUCUGCCCCCGGGCCCGCGCCCGCCGAAGACACCUUGAACUCUGUAUGAAAAUUGCAGUCUGAGUCUAAAUAUAAAUUAUUUAAAACUUUCAACAACGGAUCUCUUGGUUCCGGCAUCGAUGAAGAACGCAGCGAAAUGCGAUACGUAAUGUGAAUUGCAGAAUUCAGUGAAUCAUCGAGUCUUUGAACGCACAUUGCGCCCCCUGGUAUUCCGGGGGGCAUGCCUGUCCGAGCGUCAUUGCUGCCCUCAAGCCCGGCUUGUGUGUUAGGCCUCGUCCCCCUUCCCGGGGGGACGGGCCCGAAAGGCAGCGGCGGCACCGCGUCCGGUCCUCGAGCGUAUGGGGCUUUGUCACCCGCUCUGUAGGCCCGGCCGGCGCUUGCCGAUCAACCAAAAC